AUUGAACGCUGGCGGCAUGCCUUACACAUGCAAGUCGAACGGUAACGCGGGGCAACCUGGCGACGAGUGGCGAACGGGUGAGUAAUGUAUCGGAACGUGCCCAGUUGUGGGGGAUAACUGCUCGAAAGAGCAGCUAAUACCGCAUACGACCUGAGGGUGAAAGCGGGGGAUCGCAAGACCUCGCGCAAUUGGAGCGGCCGAUAUCAGAUUAGGUAGUUGGUGGGGUAAAGGCCUACCAAGCCUACGAUCUGUAGCUGGUGUGAGAGUACGACCAGCCACCCUGGGACUGAGACACGGCCCAGACUCCUACGGUAGGCAGCAGUGGGGAAUUUUGGACAAUGGGGGCAACCCUGAUCCAGCCAUGCCGCGUGCGGGAAGAAGGCCUUCGGGUUGUAAACCGCUUUUGUCAGGGAAGAAAUCCUUUGAACUAAUACUUCGGAGGGAUGACGGUACCUGAAGAAUAAGCACCGGCUAACUACGUGCCAGCCGCCGCAGUAA
rnacentral:rRNA from 1 species